AUGUCAAUAAAGACAAACUGGAAGUCCUUUCUCUCUCUCUCUCUCUGGAAGAAGAACGGAGGAGGACGCAUGGAGCCUACGUGCGCUCUCACCAAUAUUACUUUUAUGACAAUUACUUGUUGAAUUCCCCGUUUAUUCAACAGGUUCUGUGUCUUUCAGGGAUAGAUGGUGCUGGAUGCAUUGCUGUGGUACUGAGACUUGAUGGGCUGGCAGGGUGCUGAAGAUGCUGUAGGGGAUCAUCUAGUCUUUUGAUUUGAUUGGCUAGCAUGUGGACUGAAGAAGUAAAUCUUGCCCUGUGAUUGCUGGUCCAGUAUGAAGAUCUAAAUCUCAACCCCAUGGUUUGUUGGAUCUGCAGUAGAUGAGUGUCUUAUGGUGAGUUCCUUCCUGGUUUGUGAGGUGUCAACUUAGAACUGUACAGUCAUUUUACUGGAAUUGUGAUGCCUUUUCUGACACAGUUCUGCUGAUUUACCCUUCUGAAAAGCCGUUAAUCUGAAUUACCAGCACUAUAAAUAAACAAUUGUAGAACGUUAAAGUAGUUUUGUUGCCAGCAAAUCUAUUUAAUUUAACAUUUUAUUUAUCUAGGUAUUAGUCUUAAUGAUUACAGUUGGUUAUCAAUUAAGAAACUGGUAAUUUACUUUAGUCAAACACCUAUCUAUUGACACGAUCCUCAAGGUUUGGAAGGUGGCUCAUGUACUCAAAAGUUGACCCUUGAGAAAUAACCUUUCCCCUUUUUCAAAACUUUCUUGCCUGGCAAAAAAAAACCUUUGGUCUCAACAUGAACAUGUCUAAAUAAAUUCAAAUUAUUAAUCUUUUUUUCUGCCCUGUUCAUUAUGAUACAUGUUAUUAAACUUUUAUACUACA